rnacentral:rRNA from 1 species
CGAACAAAAAAAUAACACGUUGAUAACCUACCUAUAAGACUUGGAUAACUUCGUGACACCGUAGCUAAUCCCGGAUAAUAUUUUUAACCGCAUGGUUCAAAAGUGAAAGACGGUCUUGCUGUCACUUAUAUAUUGAUCCGCGCUGCAUUAGCUAGUUGGUAAGGUAACGGCUUACCAAGGCAACGAUGCAUAGCCGACCUGAGAGGGUGAUAGGGAACACUGGAACUGAGACACGGUAAAGACUCCUACGGGAGGCAGCAGUAGGGAAUAGUCCGAAAUGGGAGAAAGCAUGAAGGAGCAACGCCGCGUGAGUGAUGAAGGUCUUUGGUUUGUAAAAUGCUACGACGACCACCGAAAACUACACAAGGUG